GCAGCAGCCGCGGUAAUACAGAGGGUGCAAGCGUUAAUCGGAAUUACUGGGCGUAAAGCGCGCGUAGGUGGUUCGCCAAGUUGGAUGUGAAAUCCCCGGGCUCAACCUGGGAACUGCAUCCAAAACUGGCGAGCUAGAGUAUGGUAGAGGGUGGUGGAAUUUCCUGUGUAGCGGUGAAAUGCAUAGAUAUAGGAAGGAACAUCAGUGGCGAAGGCGACCACCUGGACUGAUACUGACACUGAGGUGCGAGAGCGUGGGGAGCAAACAGGAUUAGAGACCCGAGUAGUCCCUGUCUCUUAUAC
rnacentral:rRNA from 1 species